ACGUUAGCGGCGGACGGGUGAGUAACACGUGGGUAACCUACCUAUAAGACUGGGAUAACUUCGGGAAACCGGAGCUAAUACCGGAUAAUAUUUCGAACCGCAUGGUUCGAUAGUGAAAGGUGGUUUUGCUAUCACUUAUAGAUGGACCCGCGCCGUAUUAGCUAGUUGGUAAGGUAACGGCUUACCAAGGCUACGAUACGUAGCCGACCUGAGAGGGUGAUCGGCCACACUGGAACUGAGACACGGUCCAGACUCCUACGGGAGGCAGCAGAG
rnacentral:rRNA from 1 species